rnacentral:rRNA from 1 species
AGGACGAACGCUGGCGGCGUGCUUAACACAUGCAAGUCGAGCGGUAAGGCCCUUCGGGGUACACGAGCGGCGAACGGGUGAGUAACACGUGAGCAAUCUGCCCUCCACAUCGGGAUAACCCCCGGAAACGGGAGCUAAUACCGGAUACGACCACUUCAGGCAUCUGAUGGUGGUGGAAAGUUCUGGCGGUGGAGGAUGAGCUCGCGGCCUAUCAGCUUGUUGGUGGGGUAAUGGCCCACCAAGGCUUCGACGGGUAGCCGGCCUGAGAGGGUGACCGGCCACACUGGGACUGAGACACGGCCCAGACUCCUACGGGAGGCAGCAGUGGGGAAUAUUGGACAAUGGGCGAAAGCCUGAUCCAGCAACGCCGCGUGAGGGAUGACGGCCUUCGGUUGUAACCUCUUUCUAGCGCAGACGAAGCGAAAGUGACGGUAUGCGCAGAAGAAGCACCGGCCAACUACGUGCCAGCAGCCGCGGU